rnacentral:rRNA from 1 species
GAUGAACGCUGGCGGCGUGCCUAGUACAUGCAAGUCGAGCGAACAGACGAGGAGCUUGCUCCUCUGACGUUAGCGGCGGACGGGUGAGUAACACGUGGAUAACCUACCUAUAAGACUGGGAUAACUUCGGGAAACCGGAGCUAAUACCGGAUAAUAUAUUGAACCGCAUGGUUCAAUAGUGAAAGACGGUUUUGCUGUCACUUAUAGAUGGAUCCGCGCCGCAUUAGCUAGUUGGUAAGGUAACGGCUUACCAAGGCAACGAUGCGUAGCCGACCUGAGAGGGUGAUAGGCCACACUGGAACUGAGACACGGUCCAGACUCCUACGGGAGGCAGCAGUAGGGAAUCUUCCGCAAUGGGCGAAAGCUUGACGGAGCAACGCCGCGUGAGUGAUGAAGGUCUUCGGAUCGUAAAACUCUGUUAUUAGGGAAGAACAAAUGUGUAAGUAACUAUGCACGUCUUGACGGUACCUAAUCAGAAAGCCACGGCUAACUACGUG